rfam:Gaeumannomyces graminis var. tritici R3-111a-1 mitochondrial scaffold supercont1.515, whole genome shotgun sequence.
GAUCUAGUAACUUAAUUGGUAAAGGAUUCCCUUGUCACGGGAAUAGAUGCCGGUUCGAAUCCGGUCUAGUUCG